CAAAUUAUAGUUCUUUAUAGUUGAAUAUAUUAUUUACAUUAAUAAGUUAAUUGUGCAAUUCAGUUUAAUUUGA
rnacentral:tRNA from 1 species